UGAAAACUCCGGUGGAUAGAGAUGGGCACGCGCAAGAUUAGAUAGUUGGUGAGGUAACGGCUCACCAAGUCUGCGAUCUUUAGGGGGCCUGAGAGGGUGAUCCCCCACACUGGUACUGAGACACGGACCAGACUCCUACGGGAGGCAGCAGUGAGGAAUAUUGGACAAUGGGUGAGAGCCUGAUCCAGCCAUCCCGCGUGAAGGACGACGGCCCUAUGGGUUGUAAACUUCUUUUGUAUAGGGAUAAACCUACUCUCGUGAGAGUAGCUGAAGGUACUAUACGAAUAAGCACCGGCUAACUCCGUGCCAGCAGCCGCGGUAAUACGGAGGGUGCAAGCGUUAUCCGGAUUUAUUGGGUUUAAAGGGUCCGUAGGCGGAUUUGUAAGUCAGUGGUGAAAUCUCACAGCUUAACUGUGAAACUGCCAUUGAUACUGCAAGUCUUGAGUGUUGUUGAAGUAGCUGGAAUAAGUAGUGUAGCGGUGAAAUGCAUAGAUAUUACUUAGAACACCAAUUGCGAAGGCAGGUUACUAAGCAACAACUGACGCUGAUGGACGAAAGCGUGGGGAGCGAACAGGAUUAGAUACCCUGGUAGUCCACGCCGUAAACGAUGCUAACUCGUUUUUGGGCUUUCGGGUUCAGAGACUAAGCGAAAGUGAUAAGUUAGCCACCUGGGGAGUACGAACGCAAGUUUGAAACUCAAAGGAAUUGACGGGGGCCCGCACAAGCGGUGGAUUAUGUGGUUUAAUUCGAUGAUACGCGAGGAACCUUACCAAGGCUUAAAUGGGAAAUGACAGGUUUAGAAAUAGACUUUUCUUCGGACAUUUUUCAAGGUGCUGCAUGGUUGUCGUCAGCUCGUGCCGUGAGGUGUUAGGUUAAGUCCUGCAACGAGCGCAACCCCUGUCACUAGUUGCCAUCAUUAAGUUGGGGACUCUAGUGAGACUGCCUACGCAAGUAGAGAGGAAGGUGGGGAUGACGUCAAAUCAUCACGGCCCUUACGCCUUGGGCCACACACGUAAUACAAUGGCCGGUACAGAGGGCAGCUACACAGCGAUGUGAUGCAAAUCUCGAAAGCCGGUCUCAGUUCGGAUUGGAGUCUGCAACUCGACUCUAUGAAGCUGGAAUCGCUAGUAAUCGCGCAUCAGCCAUGGCGCGGUGAAUACGUUCCCGGG
rnacentral:rRNA from 1 species